UUGACCAUUAUAAUAUCGCUGUGACACCCCAAUAGUCCCACAUCGGAUGAGAAUGGGGUUAUCAUUGGGUUUAUAUGAGACUUAAACACUAGUAAUAAUAACUGGGCUUAAGCAUUUUGGGCUGUGGUUGGGCCCAACGAGUUAUUAUUGCUAGUGGGCUGGGUCGUUUCAUUUGGUAUUAGAGCCGGUUCACCAGCUGGACAUGUGUGGCGAGUCUCGGCUGAGCCAGGGUCUGGAUGACGGGCUAGCGAGACGAGUCUCACAUAGCCUGGUGAUCUUGGGCUGUAUGUGUGAGGACUGACGAGGACGUCAGGGCCUUAACGGGGGGAGUCUGUGACACCCCAAUAGUCCCACAUCGGAUGAGAAUGGGGUUGUCAUUGGGUUUAUAUGAGACUUAGACACUAGUAAUAAUAACUGGGCUUAAGCAUUUUGGGCUGUGGUUGGGCCCAACGAGUUAUUAUUGCUAGUGGGCUGGGUCGUUUCAAUCGCCCAAACAUAGACCAAGAUGAACCACAUAUAUGUAUGACCACGAAUCUUUUAUUGCCAAAAGCAAAUGUUACUAUUAUGAAAGCGGCCCGUACAUUAUAUUAUAUAUCAAAUCAUGAUUUAGAUGUUUUAGAGAGCAAAAACAUGAGUAGUGGUCUGGUUGAUUAAAUGAUUGUACAUUAGCCUUUGGUCUUCUCUUAUAACCCCAAAAAAACCAAAAACAAUGGUUCGAUUAAUAGCAUUUCUUUAAUCCUUUUUACAGAUUUUUCUAAUCUAAAAAUAUCUAAUAGUAUUAUUUUUCUAUUUUUAUAAUUUUUUUAAAAAAAUAGAUUUUAAUGAAGUUUUAUAAUAUAUAGUAUUAGAAUAUCCUAGGAUAUAUCUGAAAAGAAAAGUUUCUUAUUUAUUUUUUUGUUUAGUCGUUACGAUAUAUGUUUAUUUUUCUAUGCCAUAUAGAGGGAUUUCGAUAAUUUUUUUUUCUUUGUAAUGUUGAAAAGUACUAUUUUAUUAACUAUAAAUUUUUUAUAAUCUAUCAGGAUCUAUAAAUACUAAAUAUUUUGAUGUGUACUAGGAUUAGAUCAUCCCAGAACCAAAAUAAAUAUAUUCGUUGCGCUUUUUGGCAUACGACACUUCACAUAUGUGCUUCAAUACAUUCCGACUCGAAACGACGCACCGUAAAAAAGAAAUCGUAUGGCCUUCUCACCUUGUUGAUUAAUUAAUUAGAGGAUAGUUUCUAAUUUGAGUUCCGGCUCUCCAUCAUGCAGACCAAAACAAUAUGGUUCAAUCGGUUACCUCUUUCCAAUACAUGCAUGGCUUAAUUAAAGUCACAACAUCAUUAGUUUGGCUAUAACAUAUAUGUAUAAUACAUAGCUUCCAAACACAAGUGUAAUUAUAAUUUAAUUCAAUUAGAAGAAUCUCUUUAUUUUAAAUAUGGUAAUUUGUAAAUUAUAAUAUUAGUAUAUUUAUAUGGACUAUUGGUUAUGAGUUAUUUGGGAAAAGAACUAUACAAUAGCUAAUUAAAUAAAAUUUUGAUUGAUUUAUUAUUUGACAGGUACUAGAUAAAGGAAUUAAGUUGAUCAAAGAAACGUAAGCUGAGCUUCUCAAUAGAAUUAGAAGGUGUGUAUUUUUAUUCAUUUUAUAAUUUCUUUUUGUUGCAUGUUUUUUUUGUAAGACUCAAAUAUUUGCUAAUUAUUUUAUAAAAUUUCAGUCUAAUAGUUUAUAUUAGCUAAUACUCNAGGAGCACGGUGGCGGUGGAGGCGGUCCGGGUGAAAUGCAGGGUCAUCUUUGAGCCCGGGUGCAGGUCCUUCUCCAGGAAGAACACGGAGCCUACUCCGUCUACGUUCGCUGAGGUGGUUACUUUUCCUAUAUGUUUCAAAAAAAGACAAAUAUUUAAAAUAUAGUAUACUAUAACAAAUGCUUGGUGCUAGUAAAUUUUUCGCUGUUAAAAUUAUUUUUUUGAUCAUUGUUAUUUAUUAGAUUAAUACUGUUCAACCAACCAUCCAUUCAAUUCGAAGAAUUUGUUAUUAUGCUAACCACAAGUUCUUUUAUUUAAAGGUCGAAAAUCUAAUAGCAUCAAAUAUUUAAUACUAUCGAUAAUAUAAUAGCAUAAUUCGUAAUAUAUAUAUAUAUAUAUAUAUAUAUAUAUAUAUAUAUAUAUAUAUAUAUAUAUAUAUAUAAGUUUAUAGGAAUUUCGACAAUGAUAGACGAAAUCCAAAAAAGAAUAAAAUAAUAUUCCAUAUAUUUUCUACAAAUGGAUAUGAUCAGUUUAUUAAAAAAAUCUUAAAUAAGAACGAACAGUUAUGUGACACCUGUUAAAAAAUAGCAUUUUUAUUCAUUUAUAAAUCCAAUUGUACGAACUGUUGUAUCAAUUAAAAAUGAACAGUUAUGACCAAUUUGUUAAAAAAUAGCAUUCUUAUCCAUCUAUAAAUGCAAUCCUAUGAAUGGUUGUGAUCAAUUAAAAAUGAGCGGUUAUGAUCAAUCUGUUAAAAUUUUAAUCUAAAUCGAAAAAUAAAUUUAUUAUAAAUUUAAAUUAAAAAAGUUUAAAUUAGAAAUAAAAUUUAAUUUAAUUUAUAUCGAGUCUACAAACGAUUGCGAUAAAUUAAAAAUGAACAAUUAUCUAUCUAUUAGAAAAUAACAUUUCUAUCUAUAUUUAUACUAUAUAUAAAAGCAUAUAUAAAAAAAUGAAUAACGAUAUAUCUUGAAAAUGAUUUUAAAAUAUCUAUAUAAAGCAAUAAGAAUAGAAUAGAUAAUGUAAAAAAUAUUUCUGGUUAUAAUCAAUUUGUAAAAAAAAUAUCUCAUAUAAGAACGAACGGUUAUGAUCGAUUAAUCUGUUAAAAAACAUUCAAAUCUAUUAAUAAAUUCAAUUCUACGAACAAUUAUGAUCACGAUCAAUCUGUUAAAAAAAAACAUUCAAAUCUAUCGAGAAAAUCAAUUUUACGAAUAGUUAAGAUCAAUUUAUUAAAAAUAUUUCAAAUAAAAAAAACAAUUAUAAUCAAUUUGUUAAAAAAUAGUACUUCGAUUCAUCUAUUUUACAAUACAAUUUAAAUUUGAGUUUAAAUUUUGAUUUAGAUUUUAUUUUUAAUUUUUGGUAUCCAACUUUUUAUGCAAUUUAAUUUUCAAAUUUUUAAAAAUUUGGGCUAAUAGUUUUGUUUAAUUAGGAUAGCAAGGAAUUUUUUGGUCCAUUUGCCAGCUUAUUGGACAUCAAUCUAUGGAUAAGAGUUGGAUGAAUGAACCCAGGUUUGAUUUAGUACUAUUUUUCAAGCUAUAAAAUAUGGCCUUAUUUGAAAUAUAUUAUUUUGACAUAUCAACCCAUAUCCACUUAAAUAAAUAUAGGGUGAGCAAGAAGUAUCUUGAUGGAGUUUUGAACUUUCUUGAUUUUGCAUUUCUCAAAGCAGUCCGAGAAGGAUCAAUUCUUUGCCCUUGCAAAAGAUGUGCUAAUUGUUUUUGGCAAAAUAAGGAUACUGUUCUCGAGCAUUUAAUAUGUGAUGGCUUUUUGGAAGGAUACACAUCUUGGAUUUAUCAUGGAGAAGAUAUUACAUCACACUACAACAAAACUAUGUUUUAGCGGCGAUUAUUUUUUAAAUUAGUGGCAAUUACAAUUGCCGCUAAAAUGUUUUGUGGCAAUCUUAACAAUUGCCGCUAUUGGCAGGGUCGCUAAAAGCUUUAGCAGCAUUUAUUCCGACGGUUGGUAAAAAUCCAAAUAAAUGCCGCUAAAUAUUAUACAAUAACGACUAUUAUAAAUGCCGCUAAAUAGUAUGCAAUAACAACUAUUAUAAAUGCCGCUAAAUAAUAUACAAUAACAACUAUUAUAAAUGCCGCUACAAUUAAUUAUAAUUGCCGCAAAAAAUAUACUAAAUGAUUAAUUAAUAAAGCUUAUAGCGGCAAUUAAAUUAAUAUUAAAAUACUUGAUUAACAACUAAAUACUACAAUGAAUUGAAAUAUUAAAAAAUAUUANGAUCGAUCUAACUAAUUAAGGAAAAGAUAAAUUUAAAUCUAGAUUUAUACUUAUCCUUAAUUGUCAUUAUAUUAUUAGGAAUAGGAUUAUAUUCCUAUAUAUAAUAUACGGGAGUUUUUAGAAAAGCCAAGCCGUCAUCUAUCCUCUCUUCUCUCUUCCAUCUUCUAGCAAGAAAGACGUCCUUUUGCAAGGGAGCUAGCACCCCGGUGAGGACAUCGAUCAAAUCAAGAACCUCGUGUGGAUACCUAUAGAGGCCGGACGCGUGUGCGGCUUCAAGAAAACCGAAUUCCAUGAUCAUCAAAUUGAGGGAAAGAUCUAUCCGCGAAAAAGGUAAAGAUUCGAUCUUGUUUUUCUUCUUUAAUCUUAAAGAACAUGAGGGUUCCUAAUUGCGUAGUUUUUGAGAUUGGAUCUCGAGAGUUUUCAAAAAUCAAAUUUAUUUGAUUUCUUUUUCCGCUGCGUUUUUACCGUACGCAAUUUUCUAACAAUAAUUUGCCACCAUGGAUGUGUAUGAAACAACCAUAUUUGAUAAUGUCUUUGCUUAUCCCUGGCCCAAAUGCACCUGGAAAUGAUAUUGAUGUCUACUUACAACCGCUAAUAGAUGAGUUGAAUGAUCUUUGGUUGAAUGGUCUGUACACUUAUGAUGCCUCUAUGAAGCAAAAUUUUCAAAUUCAUGCCGCAUUAUUAUGGACUAUUAGUGAUUUUCCUGCGUAUGCAAAUUUAUCAGGAUGGAGUACAAAAGGACGAUUGGCAUGUCCUUCUUGUAAUGUGGAUACUGAUUCUCGUUAUCUAAAGCACAGUCGAAAAUUAUGCUAUAUGGGUCAUCGUAGAUUUUUAGAAAAGAACCACAAAUUUCGACAUAAUAGAUUAUCUUUUGAUGGGAACCAGGAAGUUAGAGAUGCACCUGUUCCAUUAUCUGGCUCUAAACUAUUAAAUCAAAUGAAGGACAUUGAGAAUAUAUUUGGUAAGAAAAAUGAUGGUGGUUAUAAAGGGAAGAGAAAGAAAGGUAAAAGACAAGUUUUACCUCAUUCUUGGAAGAAAAGAAGUAUAUUUUUUUCCUUACCAUAUUGGGAAAAGCUCCUUCUACGUCACAAUCUAGAUGUAAUGCACAUUGAGAAAAAUAUUAGUGAUAAUGUGCUUUGGACAAUAUUAAGCACUGAUGGCAAAACGAAGGAUAAUAUAAAAACUCGUCUUGAUUUGCAACUUAUGGGGAUUCAGAGCUCACUUCAUUUAAAGCAAAAUGGAAAAAAAACUUUAAUUCCUUCUGCUUGCUACUCACUUUCUAUGAAAGAAAAAGAGAUAUUCUUCAAAUUACUGAAGUUGGUUAAAGUUCCUGAUGGAUACGCAGCAAAUAUUUCAAAAUGUGUGCAUCUAAAGGAUCGAAAAAUUAUAGGACUAAAAAGUCAUGAUAACCAUAUCUUGAUGCAGCAACUACUUCCUUUAGCAUUGCGGAAGGUUUUGCCUAAGAAUGUAAGCUUGACACUUAUGGAAUUAAGUAACUUUUUCAGAGAAAUUUGCUCCAAAUCUAUUAGAGGAAAAGAACUACAACGACUGGAAACUCAAAUAGCAUUGACACUUUGCAAAUUAGAAAAGAUAUUUCCACCAUCUUUUUUUGAUACAAUGGUUCAUUUGGCUAUGCAUCUAGCAUAUGAAGCAAGAAUUGCUGGACCAGUGCAAUAUCGGUGGAUGUAUCCUAUUGAAAGGUACUUAAAUAUUAUCAAAACAAGUCUUCUAGGUGAAAGUGUAUAGACAAUAUGUCACGCCCCGAGGCCGAUUUUAAAAACCUUUUUAAAAUCCAUUCCAUUUUGAAAUUCAGAGUUGCGGAAAACGUGCCAUUUCUUCUUCUUCUUUUUUUUCUCAACCUGGCCCACGCGACGUACAGACCCGCCACAAAUACCAAGUUCCUCUGUCCACUCGGACAGAGUCUCCUUUGUAUUUGCACGGCGUACCAGCUAUACAACAGGAUCUCAACCACAACCUACAUUUACCAAUCAGCAACCAAAUCAUGAUAUGCAUUCCCAUACAACUAACGAUCCUUAGAAUGAUGCAUGCCUCUAAGCACUCCUUAGGCGCUGGAUGAUGCAAUGCACAAUACAANAGGAGGAUCGCCUGAGGCCGGAGGGGUGCCUCGGGUACGGCUGCGGCUGCGGCUGCGAGCGACAGAGUCGCAGGGGAAGCUGGUGCAACUCGGCUCGGCCUGAGUUGCCUUCAACUGGCAGCAAGCAGCAGUGGCGGCAGCGGUGGCGCUCGGCGACGGCGACAGGCGACGGGGGAGGUCACCUGGGCUCCGGGGAAGGCGGCGGGACAGGUCUCAGGCGGCGGCGGCGCGCGGCCAACUACUGCUACUCGGCUCGGCGGAGCCCUGUCCCAGGCAGCAGCGGCCAUCCUGGGCGGCAGCGGUGGCGCUAGGCGACGACGGCGGUCGGCGGGGAUGCUCGCCGGAGCACGGGGCGACACCGGCGGAGGGUCUGGAGGUGGCGGCAGUCUCGGGCUUCCUCACAACCCGAGAGGAAAGAGAGAAAGAUAAAGAGAGGGAGAGGGAAAAGGAAGGUGGCUCCGGCGGCGGCUCGCCGGCCGAGGCCCAGUCGGUGGCGGCCUGGGCGUGCGCAGCAGGGGCAGGGGAGGUAGAUUGAGUGGCAGGGGUGCGGCUAAGGUCUAGGGCUAGGGUUUCCAUUGCAAAACCCUAGAUACAAUAUAUAUAUAUAUGUAGUAUCGUCGGUAUCUUUAUAUAUAUAUAUAUAUAUAUAUAUAUAUAAGGUGCAAAUUACGGAAAAGCCCCUCAAACUUCAGUAUUUGAUACUGAGUCCCUCACAACAUGAGUAAAACGCAUGAAGACUCCUCCACGUGCAAUCUCACGCGAAACGGUACAUAAAAUAUCGCGACUUUUGCGAAAUUACCGUUUUGCCAUCACCGACCUCUCCUCGAUCAACGCGCAAUCUCCGCAGAUCCGUCCGUCAGAUUUGCGAACGGAUUGCACCAGUGUGAUCAGCACGACGGAGACAACAAAGCUACAAUCAUGUUUCAUCUCGAUCGACCACGGAUUCACGACAAAAUCCAACCUUUCAUUCCAACAGAAUGAAUAACGCAAAAAUACAUAUAAAACAUGUAUUUUUGGAUUUUCUCGAAAUCCGUGCGUCAAACUCAAAAUUCGUCAGCGCCAUUAGUUCCAGAACAGCUGAACCGGUCGAAACGAGCUAUUGGACCGCUAGGAACGGAGUCCAAUACGAGCCUGAAGCCAACUUCACACCGUGGCUUCUCCGAAAAAUCGAGUUACUAUUCACUUUAAGUGAAACUUGGAAAUCCCGUAGAAUUUUCGUUUUAACUCGUUUUCGCCCGAAACUUGACGAGUGCUUUUGUAAUUAAAUUACACACAAAAAUAUCGUCAACUGAGAGUUUAGCUACACUGCAAAAAUCUCAGUCCUUACACAAUAUUUGAACCGUAGCAUAUUUUGAAAUGGGUGUCUGAAUGCUUAAAAUAUUAAUAAAUUAAAUUUCUUAUCAGGGCCUAUUUCAAAAUAUGAUGUAAUUCAAAUAAGCAAAUAUAUUUUUUCUAUAAUAUUACAUAAUUUAGGGCUCACAUACUCAUAUGCGAUACUUAUUAAAUUGUAUAGGUUUCUUUCCACCUUGAAAUCUUACGUGCGUAAUCGAAGUCAUCCCGAAGGGUCAAUUGCUGAAGGGUAUCUGGCAGAAGAAAGUUUAACAUUUUGCUCACAAUAUUUGCAAGGUGUUGAAACAAGAUUAAAUCGUCCAAAACGCAACAAUGAAGAUGAGUUAGAAUUAGAAAAGAACCCACUGUUUCCUUUGUCAUCAAAAGGUUAUCCCAUAGGGCAUGGUGAGAUGUUUGAUCUUGAUGAAACUUCGUGGGUGCAAGCACAUCGCUAUGUGCUCUUCAAUUGUGAUGCUGUAUCUCCGUACCUUCAGUAAGAUAGUCAACAACCAAAAUAAUUUCUAUCUCGUAUAUUAUUUUAGACUAUUCUAACGAGCUUUUGUUACAUUAACUUGUAGAAAACAUAUUGACAUGAUCAUAGUUACGAAUCGUCGAAUGCGAAAUAGGGAAGUUGAGCGUAUUCACAGUGACACAUUUCAUAUAUGGUUUAAAGAACAUGUAAGUUAACAUGUUCAUAAGUGUAUAUAGUUUAGAGUGUAUCUAUAGUGAUAUUAGAAAUGUACUAACUAUCAACAAUAAAUUAAUGUGUAGAUUUUCAGAUUAGUUGAGUCAACGAGUGAAGCUGUUCCACAAGAAAUCAUUGCAUUGGCACGAGGCCCUAAUAGAGCCACAGAGAGAUUUAAAGGUUAUGUGAUAAAUGGCUUUAGGUUUCACACUAAAGAUCGUGAAGCAAAUAGAAAAACUCAAAAUAGUGGCAUUGUCGUCGUUGCUAGUACAUCAAGUUAUGCCAGUGCAAAAGACCAAAAUCCAGUAGCAGGAGAUGUUACAUACUAUGGUAUUCUUAAUGAUAUUAUGGAGCUAAAUUACUAUGAGCACUUCAAAAUAACAUUGUUCAAAUGUGACUGGGCAGAUAUUCGCUCCUAUGGCAAGAGAGUGAGAAAAGAUGAUUUUGGGUUUACGCUAGUAAAUUUCAAUCGACUAUUAUUUACUGGUGAUCAAUUGUCAGAUGAACCAUUCAUACUAGCUUGUCAAGCAAAACAAGUCUUCUACAUACAAGACCCCGUCGAGAAAGAUUGGAAAGUUGUUAUUCAUACAAAGCCAAGAGACUUUUUUGAUAUGCAACAAGAAGUUUCGACAGAUGACAUAGAGGUACAUUUAGAAAACAUCAUAAUCAGUACUAGCACAAAUGAAGCAGAAGAAGAAUUUAGUUGGAAUAAAAAUGAUGUGCCUGAACUUACAAUUGACACUCCUCUAAUAAAUGCUCAUGUGUUGGAAACAAAUACUUUUCAUGAUGCGGAGCUUCAUAAUGACAAUGAGGUAAAUGGCUCCAUGUUAAUAUAGGUGUAUCAUAUUUUGAUUUUAUGUGAUAUCUUAUAUGUACACACUUUACUAUUUUAUAUGAUAUCUUGUGAGCUCAUCCACGUUGUUACGAUAUUUAUAUCAUUAUAUGAGAUUUCUUUCAUGUGAACUUGACUAACAAAUAUUUUGUAUAUCUUGAUUUGUUUAAAACAGGAAUCACAAUGAAGAAAAAGAAUGGUAAAGAGAAAGUUUCAACAGGACCACAUCUCAAUCAAAGGGAGUAUGAUGAAAUGCUUUUAAACCAGGACCAAUCUUUACCAAAUCCAGAUCAAAACCUUGAGCAGCAACUUCAUAUGUAUUUUUCUCAGUUGGUUUCAAAUUUGCGCCAAAAUAAUCCGUCCCCACCUAUCAACGAAACUAUCAAUCAUUACAAACAAAGUGAGACUGGACGAAGUGAACCAAAUCAUGAGCUGAAAGGAAAAUUGCCCCAAAAACGAAAGAUACAAUAUGUUAACAAAUCUUCACAAGAGCCUCAAAUUAGCCAGUUGUUUCAUAGCCUUCGUCAGCCUCAAACUGAUCCAACUGUAUUCCAAGAACCUUCUUUUGAAUUACUUCAUCAUGAUGCAACUCCGUCUAAUCCAAUUUCUAGUCCUUUUCCACAUGGUGAUUUCUGGCAGAAUCAAAAUAAUAAUUUUGCUGACUUUGAAGAAAAUUAUUCUGAAGAAGAUGACUUUGAUGAUGAUUCUAACGAAGAAGAAGGCAAUGCGAGAGAUGGUACAUUUUUUAUUCUCUUACUAUAUAAAAUAAUAUCUAUCGACUUGACGUUUUGUGAAUUAUAUUUCUUAAUCAAAGUUUAGUCGAAUUAUAUUAUUAGGUAUGAUUCUCUUGCUAUAUAUUUUUUUCAUUAAGUAGGUUCAACACAAGCAUCGAAGAAUACGCGAGGGCGUACUAAGUUGCUCAAACUGUUUAAAAGGACAAAACCUAUGAAGGUCAAAUUCAAUGAAUAUGGACAACCGAUUGGAAAAUCAGCAGCCAUCCUUAGAAAUUUUUUGGGGCUCAUAGCCAAAAAUGGACAAAUAACUCCUCUUAGUCAUAGAGAUUGGAGACUAGUUCCAAAUACAGAUAAAAAUCUUAUGUGGAACAUCGUACAGGUAGAAUUACUAAUAUUUAUAGUGAUUUCCUUUGUAUUAUUUGAUAUUUGUCAAUAUAUAUCUAAUCUUUGAUGCAAAAAAAGUUCAAAAUUCCAGAAGAAGGAAAAAGAUGGGUUAUGAUGUCCAUUGGAAAAAAAUGGAGAGAGUUCAAAUGUAUGUUGAAGAAACUGCACUACGACCCUCAUACCACUUAUGCGGAAAGAAUAGCAGACCGUGAUUCACGGGUCUUACCAAAUGAAUGGGAAUUUCUUGUCAAGUAUUGGAAUUCUGAAUCGGCGUUGGUAUAAGAAUUAAUUAUUAGAAAUUUUGUGGCGGCUUUUAUAUGUUUUCAUCGAAUUUUUUCUAUACAAGUGAAAACUGCAAUUUAGGAUAUUAUACAUUUCUAUAUAUUUCAUAUUGAUAACUUUCUAGCUUGACUGUAUUGGAUUUAAGUUUUAUAUGUCUUUGACUCAUUGUAGGAACGUAGUGCAAAAAAUAAAGCUACUCGUGCGAAGCAAGAUAUCACGCAUACUGCAGGCACAAAGAGCUUUGCUAGGGUUCGUGCAGAGGCAUGAGAAUCUUCAUUCUCUUUCAAAUUUUGUAUUUAAAUUUGUUAUUAUAUUUUUCUUAACAAACUAAUUUUUCUAUGUGUGACUAGAUGACAAAGGAGAGUAAAGUUGCACCUAAAAGACAUGAGUUAUAUAUAAGAACGCAUACUAAAAAGAAUGGCAAAGCUCUGGAAAGCUGCGAAAGUAACAUUGUAUGUUUUUAACAUAUUAAAAUUAUAUUUAUUAUCUCAAAAUAGUAUUCUCUCAUUUAAUGUCUUUUUGUAGGUUGCAAUAAAAAAAUUUUCAUCUCAUCAUCCAGAAGUUGCACAAAAAAAUACAUCUCGAGAUGAUCUUUUAGUGAUGGCUCUAGGAGAGGAAAAACGUGGAAAUUAUGUUCGUUGCUACGGGUUGGGUGCUGCUCCCUCAGAAGUCUUUGGCCCAAAUCCAACUCGAACCGAAUGCUUAAAAAUGCUUUCUAAAACUAAAAGGAUAGCUGAAGAAGAGAAACAUGUAAUGCAAAAAGAGAUUGUUGAAAUGAGGCAAGAAAUAUUGAUGAUGAGGGCAAGGUUGGAAACAAUGGAAAAAAGAUCACAAGACUUGAAUACGAUUGAAGAUAGAGACAUUCCAUCUAAUCCAAUAGGAACAUCUAAUCCAAUAGGCAGUGCGCAAGUAAACUCGAGUUGUCAUUUAUGUUUAUUUUGAUUUAUAAAAAAGACUAUUUAAUUAUAAUGAGAUAGAAAUCAUCUAAUCAUAUUCUUUUUUCUUUGUAGAAUGGCAAUAAUAACAUUCCCUUCGUAGAACCGCCAAGUAAUGAAAUACAAUCUUCUGAAUCGAGCUUUGAGGUUCCACGAAAUCAGGUAGUUCUAUUUUUAUUAAUUUAUCUUAAUGUUCUUGUAUAAAAUAUUAUAUGUAGUUAAGAUCAAUAUGGAUGUCCAACAUAUACGAUAUUUGAAUGCAGGGUUAUCGAGCAAAAGUUGUUGGAAAGGAUGUCCAUGCUAUGCUAGAUAAUGGGGUUAUCUUCUAUUACUUAUUUUGAUUCUUCUUGUUACUUAUUUCUUAUGCAUACAAAUCUCAAUUUUUAUUUUUUUAGUUAUAUUUCAAUAUUAUUCCAAUAUACAUUUUAUGUCUUUAAUUACGUAUAUUAUUGUGAUAUGAUAUUUGCUAACUAAUGCAAAUUAGUCUUAACUUUUUAAAAAAUUAACUAUAUUUCUUUAUUUUUGCUAAAUAUUAGGGUGGAGUUGAAGUAUAUAUAAAGAGUUUAAGAAAGCCUCACAAGUAUGUUGCACAAGGUUCUUUGUUGAGCACAAAUCCAACUACUAAAAUAGGUGGCGCCGAGUUAGGAUCACAAUGCUGGGAGGUUCAAAUAAAUGUUCCAAUAGAGCCUAACGAGCCGUUAUUAAGAUCAUAUGGAAGUUUUCAAACAAUUGGGGAUGCUGUGGGAGCAACUGUGGCCUGGCCAUUUACAUUUGUAUAAGAUUUAUUUAUUUUAUAUUUUAAUUUGAUUUUAUCAUCUAAUAUAGAUUAUUGACUCGUUAAAAUUAACUCUUAAUGUGUUUUUUUUCCACAGGUUCAGCGCAAGUAAGGAUACAUUUGGAAUGUUAUGCUAUUUUGUUAUGUUCGCAAACUAUUUUAUGUCAUGUGACCAUUUUGUUAUUGGAUGCGUUAUUUGUGUUCGCAAACUGUUUUAUUUUGUUAUAUUCGCAAACUACUUUAUGUUAUGUGACCAUUUUGUUAUUGGAUGCGUUAUUUGUGUUCGCAAACUGUAUGUGUUAUUUGUGUUCGCAAACUACUUUAUUUUGUUAUGUUUGCAAAUUACUUAUGCAUUACUAAUUUUGUGUUUAGAAAAAUUUGGUGGUCUUGUGUUAUUUUUUGAAUGUUGAAUGUAUUACAAGAUUUUAACUCAUUUGUUUGUUUAAUUGGGAAUGAGCUUAUUAAAUAAUUUGUGUUUAUUUAUUAUGUAUGAUAUAUAUUUCUUAUUAUAUAAAAAUACUAAAAUCACAUUAUUUAAUAAAAUAUAUUAUUUUUAAAUAUUAUGUUAAAAAUAUGAUAGUAUAAAUUAUUAUUUAUAUUAUUUUUAUCUGUUUAAAAGGCAUAAUUUAAAUAAUAUUUAUAUUUACAAAAUAAUAUAGAAUUACCGGCAUUUAUUAAUACUGGAAUCAAAAAUAAAAUACUAGCAUUUAUAUAAUAUUGCAAAUUAAAUAAUAAUUACCGGCAUUUAAUUAGUGCCGGAGAUGACUAACAAAUACAAGCAUUUAAAUAAUGUCGGUAAUAGUCAUCUCUAUAACGGCAUUUAUUUAAUGUUACUAAUUACUGAACAUUAACGGCAAUCUAUUUAAAUGCCGGUAGAAGAUUUACCAACACGAGUAUAAGCGGCAUUAAAAGCUGAAUGCCGCUAAUAGUUUUUGCAGCAAUUUUUUGACUUUCAGCGGCAAUAACUGAAUGCCGCUAAAACACAAUUUUUUUGUAGUGAUUACUACUUCCUCCACUUCUUGGAUUCUGUUGGAUCACCCUCGGUCAAGAUCUCCACCUCUUCUCCACUCCAAGUAUGCCCUAGCCCUUUCCCUAUUCAUCUCUGUCGAUUCACCGGAGCCUCCUUCAACGCCUUCCUCCCGGACCAUCUUGCCUUACCCGGGGCUCCCUUUGACGCUCCCAUUGCCGGCCUGCUCACCGGACACUCCGCUCCACCUCUUGCUGUCAUACUUAUUUGACUUAGUAAAAAUGCCUCCUUUUCUCCCCCCUUUUACUAAUUACUAUUUUGUUUAUUGCAGGCCUUACACAAAACUUUACUAAAAAAAAAAAAAAUUAAAACAAAAAAGAAAAGAGAUGAUGAUGAAUCUCACCGACUUGAAAGAGAGCAUGGCUUUCGAGGUGGGUUUUGUAGUCGGUCGGUGACUCGGGUGUGCUCACGGAGCCAUACCAAGCUUGUUGCGAACCUCCGCUCCCGCCACCCCCGCCGCGUCGUCUCUCUUCAUAGCUGAGGGAGCACAAGGGAUUCUAGGUUGCCGAAGAAGAUGCAGGGGAGAAACAGAAGCUUUGGGGUUUGGGAAUUUUUCCUCACAUAUUAUUUGUAUAUUUUUAAUUUGUGAAAAGAAAAAAUAGUCCAAAUAUUUACACACAUACAAUAUAUAGAAUAAGUAAGGACAUAAUGGUCCAACAACAAAAAAAGAAACAGAUGGUGCUGUUGGUGGAAAAAGAGAGGAAAGUAAUGGCGGCAUGUAUGGAAAUAUUCCGAGGCGACAAAAGUCGCCACUAUUUCUUCACUUUAUAAAAAAAAUAAAAAAAUACAAAUAAAAGAAAAUGAAGAAAAAACAAUAGUUGUUGUAGGAAAAAAUAAAAAUAAAAAUAUAAAAAUAAUAAAAAAAGAAUAAAAGAAAAAAAUAUAAUACUAGCCGUACAAAUUGAAGAUUAAAAUAUUAUAUGACUCAUAAUUAGAGUAAAAAAUUGCAAGUAAUUAACGGUUGAGAAUUAAAACGUCACGUGCCUCAGAGUUUGAGCAAAAAAAUAUAACAUAUUAAAAUUUUAAGGAUAAUGUGUUGGAUCGUAUAUUUUGGGACCAAAGUUGUAAUUUAGCCUUUUAUAUUUUAAUUUUAUUCCAGACGAAAACAAAUUAAGUAGAGCAUCAAUCGAUUUUGUUUAAUCAGUCAUUUUAUUGGAGGAAAAAAAUAUAUUAAACCAUCUAAUAAAUUUUACAAUGUCUAAGUGUUAAAAUUAAAGGUCGACCAAUCAUAUUUUAUAUAUUCUAAAAGACUUUAAUAAAUAUAAAAUUGAUUGCUUAUUAGACUAUAAAUAUAGUAUUGAAGUUAGAUAUUAAAAUUAAAGUAAAAACGUAUAAUACUUUUCUUAACUACGAACUAUUUUCAAUCAGCCAUCCAACCUUUUUAAAUUUUAUUUUUACUAUCCAACCUUUCUACAAAAUAUAUUUGAGUGAAUUAAUAAAUUUUGAUUUCAAAAUUUAAAUGCGUCGUUUUGAUUUACGGAUUUAGUUAAUCUGCUUCAUGUAAUUCCUGCAAAUAAAUUUAUUUAAAAAAUUAAUAAUUUAAACUCUUCCAAUUUUUUUUUAUUGUAUAAUCUAUAUAUAAGUGAUUAAUAUUAUAAAUUAAAUUUUAUAUUUAAUACAUAAAAUCUAAAAUAUUUAAAACCUAUGGAUAAAAAAUUAUAUAUUUUAAAUUUUUAUAAUGAGAGAUUGAAAAUUAAAUUGGAUUAAAAAAAUUCAAUUUCCUCAAUCCAAAUCAAUGCAAAAUAAAAAAUAAAUAAAAAAAUUUAACAAAACCCAACCCUGUCCCCCACCUGGCUUACAGACUCAUAUUAUUAAUAUUGGUGGCGACCUAUAGUUGUCGCCACCAUUGUUGAUGUAUUGGCGGCGACAUCCAUAAGUCACCACUAUUGUUUAUAUAUUGGCGGCGGCAUUUAUAUGUCGCCACCAUUGUUUAUGUAUUGGCGGCAACAUUUAUUUAUCGCCACCAUAUCUUCUACAUAGGUGGCAAUGGUACUUGUCGCCACGAAAAAGUCGCCGCCAAAAUUCCUUCUUCUUGUAGCUAGCAUUGAGUGCCGGUACUCGAAUUGGAGUACCGGUACCCCUCAGUUCCGGUACCAAGGGCGUAGUUCCGCAGAACCCGUACAUUAGAAAUUCUGGUUUAUAACUGCAUUCCGGUACCAGCCCAAUGCAAUACCGGUACUCAGCCCAGUACCGGUACUCGCAACCCGAUUCAGCAAAACUCGAGAGCUGCUCAUUUCGACACUCUAUUGGGUUCCAGUAUCUCAACUCAUUACCAGUACUCAACACUAAAAUAUGUAGUUUACAGAUUUUAAUGUCAGAAACCCAUUCCCGCGCCUAAUAAGCUCCAGAAACAAGCUGACACUCAACCAACAACACUUAAAACGUCCAAAAUAGUUCAAAAUACUAUUCUUAUACUAGAACCUUGCAAUUUGGUAAAGUUCAGUGUGCUACACUUUAUGCAACUAGGUCACAUUACUCUUAUGAGUACGAUCGCAUUCGUACUCAUAAGUCCGACUACUAUACUCUUAUGAGUACGAUCGCAUUUUUAUAUUAGAACCUCCAGAAUAUAUGUAUGUAUAUAUAUAUAGAGUCCGGCUACUAUACUCUUAUAAAUACGAUCACAUUCGUAUUCAUAAGUUAUUUUCGAUAAUAGAGCUUCCGAAUCGAUAAUACAUACCGUUAAAUAUUAUCUAAAGCAUUUAAAACUUCCAGAAAUCAAAUUUUAUAAUUUUUGACAUCAUUUACCUGUAAGGACUGAGAUUUGGCAGUGUAGCUAUGUGACACCCCAAUAGUCCCACAUCGGAUGGAAAAAGGGUUGUCAUUGGGUUUAUAAGAGACUUAGACACUAGUAAUAAUAACUGGGCUUAAGCAUUUUGGGUUGUUGGCUAGGCCCAACGAGUUAUUAUUGCUAGUGGGCUGGGUCGUUACAUUUUUGGUAUCAGAGCCAGGUUCAUCAGCUGGACAUGUGUGGCGAGUUUCGGCUGAGCCAGGGUCUGGAUGACGGGCUAGCGAGACGAGUCUCACAUCGCCUGGUGAUCUUGAGCUGUGUGUGAUUGGACUGACGAGGACGUCAGGGCCUUAACGGGGGGAGUUUGUGACACCCCAAUAGUCCCACAUCGGAUGGAAAAAGGGUUGUCAUUGGGUUUAUAAGAGACUUAGACACUAGUAAUAAUAACUGGGCUUAAGCAUUUUGGGUUGUUGGCUAGGCCCAACGAGUUAUUAUUGCUAGUGGGCUGGGUCGUUACA
rnacentral:lncRNA from 1 species